UGGCCUGGAGCAAACAAACAUCUCAGCUUCGUUCUGCUCUUCAGCGGAGCGAGCAGCUCCUCUCAGACCGCGUAAGAGAACUGCAGGAGCUCAACGCCCAGAUCCGCUCCCUGCAGGAAGCCAUGCAGGACAAGGAUGCUGCCCAGGCAGCUCGGGAGGAGAAGCUGCUGCAGGAGCUGCAGGAGUCCCGAGCGGGCGAGCGGCGCUUGAGGGACUCGGUGCAGCAGCUGGAGGCUGAGGUCUCAGAGCUGCGCUCGAGGCUCCGUAGCUCCGAGGACAGAGCAGAGGCCUUGGCCACGCAGUGCCAGCAGGCCAGCGGUGCCCACUGCCAGGCUCGGUCCCAGCUGGACAAACUGCUCCUGGCUGUGCACCGCGCCGUCAGGGACAGCAGCAGCGCGGCCGCACGGAGCCCAGAAAAGGAUCAUGUGAACCUGACUGCUUCUCAGGCCAGGGAUGUCCCCACAGAGCUGGCGGUGGACGGAGCGGCAGCAGCCCUGCAGGACCUGUGGCAGCAGCUGGAGUGUUCCCAGAUAGAUCUGAACAAAGCCAGGAAGAAGAUUCGGGCCUUGAAGCUGCAGCUGAGCACGACACAGGCUCAGAGGGACUGUUUCAGUGCCCAUAACCAGGAGCUGCAAAAACAGCUGGCUGACAGCCAGGAAGGUACAGCUUCUCCUCUCCCACCCCGUCCUGUCUUCUGCAGGGAUCCCUGAUCUGCAGGGAUCUCCGACGCCACGCAGAGCAAAACCGCAGUGCCCAGAGGUGGGAGAGAAGAAAAACUACCAGCAGGAGACUCAUCCAUAGUGAAAGCUUUGUUGUGGAGGCAGAUCCCGUGGCUGGCGGCGCACCUGG
rnacentral:lncRNA from 1 species